UACGUAGGGUGCAAGCGUUAAUCGGAAUUACUGGGCGUAAAGCGUGCGCAGGCGGUUUGUAAGUUUGUCGUGAAAUCCCCGGGCUCAACCCUGGGAAAUGGCGAUGGAAGACUGCAAGGCUAGAAUCUGGCAGAGGGGGGUAGAAUUCCACGUGUAGCAGUGAAAUGCGUAGAGAGUGUGGAGGAACACCGAUGGCGGAAGGCAGGU
rnacentral:rRNA from 1 species